rfam:Dipodomys ordii contig_55054, whole genome shotgun sequence.
GGGAAGGUUGCUCAGUGGUAGAGAGCGCUUGCCUUGCAUGCAUGAGACUCUGGGUUCGAUUCCUCAGCACCA